rnacentral:rRNA from 1 species
GACGUAGGGCGCGAGCGUUGUCCGGAAUUAUUGGGCGUAAAGAGCUCGUAGGCGGUUUGUCGCGUCUGCUGUGAAAACUGGAGGCUCAACCUCCAGCCUGCAGUGGGUACGGGCAAACUAGAGUGCGGUAGGGGAGAUUGGAAUUCCUGGUGUAGCGGUGGAAUGCGCAGAUAUCAGGAGGAACACCGAUGGCGAAGGCAGAUCUCUGGGCCGUAACUGACGCUGAGGAGCGAAAGCAUGGGGAGCGAACAGG